CUGUAAUGUACUACCAACCUGUCAUGCUAUGUCUAAUGGCUGAUGAUAUAAUUCAAAAGAACAAAAGUACAACAAAUAUCCAUGGGUCAAAAUAUUAUUAGAUAUAAACAAACUUUUUGGGAAUUAUGUUCAAAUUGUAGAUGUGGUAUUUUCUACAAAAUUAAGAACGCUGCGGACAGGAUUCGAACCUGUGCGGGCAGAGCCCAAUGGAUUUCAAGUCCAUCUCCUUAACCACUCGGACACCGCAGCUGUGGAACAUGAUCAUUCAACGUAAUGAAUUAAAAUAUCAAUAAAUUUGCGUUCUACUUAA